AGUAAUCAAAUAGAAGCUAAUGUAUAGGAAUUUCCAUCUCAAGAUUUAGAAGGUCUUGUGUUGGUAUAUUCCUUAUUAUUAUUAUUAUUUAAUAAAAGUAUUAGGGUUCGAAUCCAGGUGGCGGGGUUUUUCUUGGUUGAAUACAGAAAAAGAGGACUGCCUUUUUCGUGUUGUGCUUCGCUAGGUCGAGGUAAGUAAGGUAUACGAGGAAAAACCUAU
rnacentral:lncRNA from 1 species